rnacentral:rRNA from 1 species
UGGGGAAUAUUGGACAAUGGGCGCAAGCCUGAUCCAGCCAUGCUGCGUGAGUGAUGAAGGCCCUAGGGUUGUAAAGCUCUUUCACCGGUGAAGAUAAUGACGGUAACCGGAGAAGAAGCCCCGGCUAACUUCGUGCCAGCAGCCGCGGUAAUACGAAGGGGGCUAGCGUUGUUCGGAUUUACUGGGCGUAAAGCGCACGUAGGCGGACUAUUAAGUCAGGGGUGAAAUCCCGGGGCUCAACCCCGGAACUGCCUUUGAUACUGGUAGUCUUGAGUUCGAGAGAGGUGAGUGGAAUUCCGAGUGUAGAGGUGAAAUUCGUAGAUAUUCGGAGGAACACCAGUGGCGAAGGCGGCUCACUGGCUCGAUACUGACGCUGAGGUGCGAAAGCGUGGGGAGCAAACAGG